rnacentral:rRNA from 1 species
UACAGAGGUGGCAAGCGUUGUUCGGAAUUACUGGGCGUAAAGGGCGCGUAGGCGGCCUUCUAAGUCAGACGUGAAAUCCCCCGGCUUAACCUGGGAACUGCGUCUGAUACUGGAGGGCUUGAGUGCGGGAGAGGGAUGUGGAAUUCCAGGUGUAGCGGUGAAAUGCGUAGAUAUCUGGAGGAACACCGGUGGCGAAGGCGGCAUCCUGGACCGACACUGACGCUGAAAAGCGAAAGCCAGGGGAGCAAACGGG